rnacentral:rRNA from 1 species
UCGUGAGACAGUUCGGUCCCUAUCUGCCGUGGGCGCUGGAGAACUGAGGGGGGCUGCUCCUAGUACGAGAGGACCGGAGUGGACGCAUCACUGGUGUUCGGGUUGUCAUGCCAAUGGCACUGCCCGGUAGCUAAAUGCGGAAGAGAUAAGUGCUGAAAGCAUCUAAGCACGAAACUUGCCCCGAGAUGAGUUCUCCCUGACCCUUUAAGGGUCCUGAAGGAACGUUGAAGACGACGACGUUGAUAGGCCGGGUGUGUAAGCGCAGCGAUGCGUUGAGCUAACCGGUACUAAUGAACCGUGAGGCUUAACCUU